AUUGAACGCUGGCGGCAUGCCUUACACAUGCAAGUCGAACGGCAGCACGGGAGCUUGCUCCUGGUGGCGAGUGGCGAACGGGUGAGUAAUACAUCGGAACGUACCCUGAAGUGGGGGAUAACGUAGCGAAAGUUACGCUAAUACCGCAUAUUCUGUGAGCAGGAAAGAGGGGGAUCGCAAGACCUCUUGCUUUAGGAGCGGCCGAUGUCGGAUUAGCUAGUUGGUGAGGUAAAGGCUCACCAAGGCGACGAUCCGUAGCGGGUCUGAGAGGAUGAUCCGCCACACUGGGACUGAGACACGGCCCAGACUCCUACGGGAGGCAGCAGUGGGGAAUUUUGGGACAAUGGGCGCAAGCCUGAUCCAGCCAUGCCGCGUGAGUGAAGAAGGCCUC
rnacentral:rRNA from 1 species